CACCUACGGGAGGCAGCAGUGGGGAAUCUUGGACAAUGGGCGCAAGCCUGACGCAGCCAUGCCGCGUGAAUGAUGAAGGUCUUAGGAUUGUAAAAUUCUUUCACCGGGGACGAUAAUGACGGUACCCGGAGAAGAAGCUCCGGCUAACUUCGUGCCAGCAGCCGCGGUAAUACGAAGGGGGCUAGCGUUGCUCGGAAUUACUGGGCGUAAAGGGCGCGUAGGCGGACAGUUUAGUCAGAGGUGAAAGCCCAGGGCUCAACCUUGGAAUAGCCUUUGAUACUGGCUGUCUUGAGUACGGGAGAGGUGUGUGGAACUCCGAGUGUAGAGGUGAAAUUCGUAGAUAUUCGGAAGAACACCAGUGGCGAAGGCGACACACUGGCCCGUUACUGACGCUGAGGCGCGAAAGCGUGGGGAGCAAACAGGAUUAGAUACCCUUGUAGUCUCC
rnacentral:rRNA from 1 species